rnacentral:rRNA from 1 species
UACGGAGGGAGCUAGCGUUGUUCGGAAUUACUGGGCGUAAAGCGCACGUAGGCGGCUUUGUAAGUUAGAGGUGAAAGCCCAGAGCUCAACUCUGGAAUUGCCUUUUAGACUGCAUCGCUUGAAUCAUGGAGAGGUCAGUGGAAUUCCGAGUGUAGAGGUGAAAUUCGUAGAUAUUCGCAAGAACACCAGUGGCGAAGGCGGCUCACUGGCCCGGUACUGACGCUGAGGUGCGAAAGCGUGGGGAGCGAACAGG